GGUAGCUGCCUUCAGUCCAGGGAGACCAAGGUAGAUCUGCUGGCGUCCGCAGAGCCUAAAGUCCCCCUUCCCUGUUUUAGCUUUCUGCUGUCUCUUUUCAUUCCGAGAACAAUUGUACUUUUCUUUCCAGACCAGUGUUUGUAGGAAUUCGUAGAUGUUGGUGAAUUUGUGAUACCAGAUUUGUGGGUAGACAUGUAUUGGAUUAUUUGAAUUUGUUAUAACUCUUCCGCACUUUUCAUCUGUUUAACUGUAGUUAUUGUUUAUAUCUGUUUGGGUUGAUUGCUAAUGGGUUAAAACCUUAAUAGUUGGCUUGCCUAGCUUUCACGAGUAGACGCCAUCACAACUCCCGAGGGUGGAAAAUCCGGGUCGUGACAAAUCAGAAUUCGAGUUAGUGUUGAACAAUCUUAAUUGGCUCAAUGAUUGCCUAAUCUUCCUUUUACUGAAAACAUGUAGAGUGAUCUUAUGAUGUUUGUGAAAUUGUUUAAUAUUUUUGCCUAUUCUGGUGCUAUUUUCCUACGUCUCAUAUUUCAACGUGCCAGUAUUAUUUUGCUAAUUAGCUCUACCUGCAUUCUUUGACCAGUAGCUCUACCUACACCUUGCACCAGCUUGGAUAUGGUGCAUCUGUUUCUUGCAUUUUGUGUUAACAACUGGACAUAUUUAUGUGGAGAGGGGGCAGAAAAGCUCUUGUGGAGUGACUUCCCUCCUCCCUUUCCCCUUUUCAACAAACUGUAUGGGAGAGUGUCUCCUAUUGAGAAGAUAUUGUAGAGUAAUAUUGUAUAUCAUCCUUGCCUUACUAGCUUCUUCAAGGCUUCUACAUAGGAUGAGGCAGAAGUACCAUAUAACUUGUAUCACUUUUACAGGUUAUUUAUAGUGAGUAGUGACUAACAAAAGUAAUGGAUUCAUCCCAAUAGUGCUCUACGUUUUCACUUGUACUCUAGAAAAAAGAAAGACAUAUUUCUUUAACAUAAUGGAAAACUAACAAAUUAAAAGUGAGAUCGUGAAACCUAUUGUCUCUAUACAUCUACGAACAGAACAUAUGGUUGUGCAGUUGAGGUUUUACCUUGUUGAAUAACUUAGAACUGGCAACUAGAAAGAAUGACAUCACAAAUUAUUGGGCCGGAAAUUGGAUACCUUUUAUUCAGUGCAUUUUGAAAAUUAUGUUACUACAUAUCUCUUAAAAAUAUUUUUUUUUGAGUGUAACAGAAUAGCUAAUAACGUCAUUAAACACCUACUUUAUUCAUACCUUUACUCUAGAAACUUCUGUUAAUAUUCAUGCAAGUAGUAACUGGGUUUAUUUUGAUUUUCUAUAAUUCUACAAUUUUUUUCUGCUGUCUUUUCUUAAAUUCCCCAUAUUUUUGUUUCCUCGUUUGGGUAGGGUUGUGGUGGUGGACUGGUUGUAAAGGGUAUGCAAUGGGUUUCUUGGAAAAUAGGGGCUUCUCUUGCUGAACCAUUAAAGCUCUAAACAUUACUGGGUUAGCAUGGUUACUCCUAUGAAGCAAUUGCAGUCUAAGUUGGUCUGGGCUGAAACUUUUCACUCCUAAAAUGAACCAAAUAUAAAUCUUCUCAUGCUUGUUCUUCUCUAUGUUGGCUAAUAUAUUUACCGAAACUCCGUACAAAAAAAGUUUUUGAAUCUCUUGAACUCCCUUCCUAGUAACCAAACUGGGCAUAUAUUUUGAGGUGGAAGGUUUUGAUCAGCUAUCUGACUGGAAUAUUUGGUUCCUGCAGGCACAUGAGUUUCCAAAAGCAUGAAAGAAAUAUACUGGGAUAUCACAGGACUUUCUAUUUUGCUUAAAUGAUACUGAAGGAACGUGAAAUUAUUUGCUCUUCAGAAGGAGGUUGUAUCUGCUUGAAUUUAGCUGCAAGAUUUUUGCCUUGGCUUUAACCAUAUUUUCAGACAUAUCAUCUGUUUAGUGUAGAGAAAGAUACAUCAGAGUUGAGCCUCCCCUUUUCUUUUUCAAAUACCUGAAUGCAAUUUUAUCCUGUAUGUAAUGCGGUAGGUUUAAGUUUUUCUUUUAUUGGCAACUGUAUCUGCAGUAAAAUGUAUUUGAUUGAUUUAAGGAACCUAAGCUAACCUAGUUUUGAUUUUUGUUUUUCUUCUUUGCCUGUUAAUAUUUCUCCUGAUACGAGUCUUUUGUUGUUUGUGGCAAUAGAGCUGGGUCUCUCGGUACCAAGGUGACUUUGUUAGCAGAUUGUCAAAGAAAGUUGUCAACUCUUUGAAUGGGAAGGCAAGAUUUUGUCCUAGGAAAGACAUUUAUGUUUAAUGACUGCUCAAACUUUACAAAAGUGGUAAUAGUAUUUGAAUGUAUUGAAUUUUCAGCUGGUUUUGCUGUUAAUUCUGAUUUCUGAUUUCUUGGAAUAUUACUAUGGAAUAAUCCUUAUUUCCUUCUUUCUUUUUUGGGCCAAUUUGUUACACUGAGAAUGGAAGAGGAUGGAGUUUUAUAUUUCCAUAAUUUCUUAUUUUUUGGCCUA